rnacentral:rRNA from 1 species
UACGUAGGUGGCAAGCGUUGUCCGGAUUUACUGGGCGUAAAGAGCGCGCAGGCGGCCUCGCGCGCCCGACGUGAAAGCCCCCGGCUUAACCGGGGAGGGUCGUUGGGGACGGCGGGGCUUGAGGGCGGGAGAGGGUGGUGGAAUUCCCGGUGUAGUGGUGAAAUGCGUAGAGAUCGGGAGGAACACCCGUGGCGAAGGCGGCCACCUGGGCCGACCCUGACGCUGAGGCGCGAAGGCGUGGGGAGCGAACGGG